UACGUAGGGUGCGAGCGUUAAUCGGAAUUACUGGGCGUAAAGCGUGCGUAGGCGGUUCGUUAAGUUCGUUGUGAAAGCCCCGGGCUCAACCUGGGAAUGGCAAUGGAAACUGGCGGGCUUGAGUAUGGCAGAGGGGGGUGGAAUUCCGCGUGUAGCAGUGAAAUGCGUAGAGAUGCGGAGGAACACCGAUGGCGAAGGCAGCCCCCUGGGCCAAUACUGACGCUCAGGCACGAAAGCGUGGGGAGCGAACAGG
rnacentral:rRNA from 1 species